AUGCAGCUGAUGAGUCUCAAAUAGGACGAAACGCGUGUCCUGGGU
rfam:Schistosoma haematobium scaffold256_13, whole genome shotgun sequence.